rnacentral:ncRNA from 1 species
UUAGAUCAGGCCAUCUCAGGUGCCGCUUCGUCGCGACGAGGCGGAGAAUUGGGAAGCCGGUCGAAAUCCGGCGCUGCCCCCGCAACGGUGGUGGAGUGACGUCGCAACGGGAGACCACUGGGCCAUGGGGCCUGGGAAGGUGUUGCGACCGCCCGCGAGGGCAACUCCAAAGCCCGGAAACCAGCCCGAGACAGUUUGAACUCG